CUCUCUUCUGCGUUAACGUUUUGAAGCCGUCCGGCUCUUGAACUUCGCUUGCUGGCUCUUCGUUGGCGUGGGCUGGCGUGAAAGUGGUAGGCAAUCGUCCGUGCUCUUCAGCUUAUGCUGUACUGCCCCUUAAACACACCCACUGUGAAAGUCAGAAAGAACGAAAGCAUAGCGACUGUAUAUAUAGACGUCAUGGUGCCAACUCCUCAUUAACUGAACUCGAGGCGUGAGCGUGGGUUUCUCAGCGCUCUGUGGCCUAACAACAUGAGGAUGCGGGCCCGUUACGUGAUAUUCGCCGCCCUGACUGGCUGUGCUGCUUGUGAAUUCCGUCGAAGGCGCCGGACGUCGUACUCAGGCUCGGAUCUUCGACCAGUUUGCGCGCCUCAUCGUGAAGCAGAUUGAGGGACUAUUUGAUAAACAAAGCGAACAAGUG